rnacentral:rRNA from 1 species
CAAAUGAAUUGACGGGGCCCGCACAAGCGGUGGAGCAUGUGGUUUAAUUCGAAGCAACGCGAAGAACCUUACCAGGUCUUGACAUCCCCUGACAACCCGAGAGAUCGGGCGUUCCCCCCUUCGGGGGACAGGGUGACAGGUGGUGCAUGGUUGUCGUCAGCUCGUGUCGUGAGAUGUUGGGUUAAGUCCCGCAACGAGCGCAACCCUCGACCUUAGUUGCCAGCAUUCAGUUGGGCACUCUAAGGUGACUGCCGGCUAAAAGUCGGAGGAAGGUGGGGAUGACGUCAAAUCAUCAUGCCCCUUAUGACCUGGGCUACACACGUGCUACAAUGGGCGGUACAAAGGGUCGCGAACCCGCGAGGGGGAGCCAAUCCCAAAAAGCCGCUCUCAGUUCGGAUUGCAGGCUGCAACUCGCCUGCAUGAAGCCGGAAUCGCUAGUAAUCGCGGAUCAGCAUGCCGCGGUCGAAUACGUUCCCGGGCCUU